AUCAACCCCCACCCAACCACACCACACACCAAUCACACCCAUAAUCCCCAAUCUACAACAUCUCCAUUACAGCAAAGGUUAAGAAAAACUCAAGAAUCAAUUCCAAGAAAUCAUCUUUCAUUUGCAGAUCACCUUCAUCGUAUCUCAUUACGUGAUUUUCUCCCGAAUACACCAUGAGAUUCACCAUCCCAACUCAAAUAUCUUCUAUAUCCAGCCUUUUUACAUUAUACAGUUAAUCAUUGAAACACAAUAUCAUCUGUAUGUUGAAAUAUUCUUGGUCUUCCUUGCGAUUUUGACUUGCUUAUCACAUUGGCGGCUGAUAACUAUUACAGGCCCGAUCUGAAGAAAGCAACUCUUUCAAGGUUGAGUACUGUGAAUAGAAGCCUUAAGGUUGCCAAAACUGGUCCUAAGAAGAAGAACAUGCAGGCUGUUAAGAUCCCGGGAAUGAAGUAAAGCAGCUGACGAGUUGUCAUGAACUUCUAUUUCUGUUGUUGCCAUGCUCUUCUGUGUGCAAACAAUAGAGUACCAGAAGAUUUUGCUACUUACCAACUAUCUUUUUAGUCUCAAGUGAUAAUGCUAUAUAAAUUUUGGACCAAAAUAGACAUUCAUUUCCUGUG